UCGGGAAUUUUGGGCAAUGGGCGAAAGCCUGACCCAGCAACGCCGCGUGAAGGAUGAAGUAUUUCGGUAUGUAAACUUCGAAAGAAUAGGAAGAAUAAAUGACGGUACUAUUUAUAAGGUCCGGCUAAUUACGUGCCAGCAGCCGCGGUAAUACGUAGGGACCAAGCGUUGUUCGGAUUUACUGGGCGUAAAGGGCGCGUAGGCGGCAAUUCAAGUCAUCUGUGAAAUCUCCGGGCUUAACUCGGAACGGUCAGAUGAUACUGCUUUGCUAGAGUGCAGAAGGGGCAAUCGGAAUUCUUGGUGUAGCGGUGAAAUGCGUAGAUAUCAAGAGGAACACCUGAGGUGAAGACGGGUUGCUGGGCUGACACUGACGCUGAGGCGCGAAAGCCAGGGGAGCAAACGGGAUUAGAUACCCGAGUAGUCCCUGAGCGGGCUGGCAAGGCGCAU
rnacentral:rRNA from 1 species